GUUACAUUAUUGCAUCGCUACCGGUGCAUGUUCCUACCGGGUUUUACGUAGCCGUAGCCCCCAAUGGCGCCAUCGCUUCCAAAGGCAGCACUGGUGCCACCGUCGACACCGAGGCACCCCGUGUAACUCUGCGGCAGGAAGCUGCUGUCGUUGUAGCCACCAUUACUACUAGGGUUUGCCCUCUCCAGUGCCUUGACCUGCGACUUGAGGAACUUGAGAUAGCCGGCCGCCUCGUCGAGCAUGGACGCAGUGUCCAUCCGGCUACCGCCCGGCACGAGCCGCUGCAGCACGCGCAGGCGCUCGCUCACCCUCUCCCGCCGCAGCCGCGCCGCCACCGUCUGCGGGUCGCUCGAGAUCCGCACGUUCCUGCGCCGCGGCUUGUUCUGGGACGAAGACGGCGGCUCGCCGCCGGCGGCCCCGCACACGAGCUGGUGCACCGGCCGCAUCGCCGCCGCGCGGUAGAUCAUCUCCUUCACCUGCGCUAUUGCCUCCGAGUCCGGCUCGUACCCGUUCCCGUCGCCGACCGACGACGACCCGCCUCCUCCGGCCGCAUGGUUGCCGCCGCCAUGCCCGGCGACCGUGGCGCUGGUCGACGAAGACGACGUCGCGGAGUCGCGCUUCGUGCCACGCCGCGGGGCUGCAACCUGCCCCUCCGCCGUUUUCGUCGUGGCUGUGGCCGACGCCGCGGCUAUUGCAGGGUACUUGCCGGCCAGCUUCCGCUUCGAGGCGCAGGUCGGCGACGCAACCUCCGUGUCAUGGCCUCCGCCGCUGCCGCCGUACGUGUUGGACUCGCCGGAGGAGAUGUUGCCGUAAUUGCCGCCCGUGGUGCUGCUGUAUCCGGAGAAGGCGUUGCUCGACGCGGUGGGCUGCGCGGCGGGCUCCUCGGCGACGACGACGGCGUCCGAACCGCAAGCAAACGUGUCGAGGAGGCUGCAGUCCAGUGCGCCGGUGACGCUAGCGAGCAUAUCCGCCGUGUCCAGGCCCAUGAAGGCGUCGGAAACGGAAAGACUCACGCCGCCGUGGCAGGGCACAAGGUUCUGGACAGCAGGGUGCGACGAGGGCAGGUUGAGGCCGCCAUGGUCAGAACGGAUGUCCAAACCGCCGCCGCCUAGGAAAUCACCGAGGAGGCCGUCGUCGUCGUCGUCCCGGCGGCUUGGCAGGCAUAGCUCUGCUGCAUACUGCAUAUUCCAGCCGCCAAAGUCCUCCAUGAUCUGUACGCCGCCGGCGUGACUGACGGAGCCUGCCUCUGCCCUCAGGCAAGAAGACUUGGUACAGGUUUAGUGGCUGCUGCAAAAAGAUUGCAGCUUCGUGCAAACAGAAUGAAGAAACACAAGAUCAUCUUUCAGUCAGUACCAAUUUGUGAGGCGGUUUGCAAUUACAAAUUCUCCUGCAGUGAACACAUACACAGAGCAAAGCAGAGAAGAAACAAGAUCAUCUAUCAGCUAGCUAGGCAUGCAAAUGCAAUACGUCAGUACCUGACCUGCCUCGCAAAUCGCAACAGCAGACUAAUCGAGGAAUUGGUUAGGUGAUGCAGGUGCAGACCGCCUGCACCGAUCUGUGACUGACGAGUUCUGAAGACUGCAGUGCAGUGCCGGCCUGCAGGGUAGCGAGGAUGGUCCUCGAUCUACUCCCAAUGGAUAGCUGUGCAGAUGGGCGACUUUUAUACACGACUUUGCUGUAGCGCAGUAGCGCUGGCCAAAUUUGUUUCCUUUUUCGGUAGGAGAGGCAUCUUGUGGCCUUGUGGGGGCACUUGCCGUUGGUGGCUGACGGAGGAUAAAGGGUGAGCAGUUGGUGAUUAAAUUCCUUCCUA
rnacentral:misc_RNA from 1 species